rnacentral:rRNA from 1 species
UGGGGAAUAUUGGACAAUGGGCGCAAGCCUGAUCCAGCCAUGCCGCGUGAGUGAUGAAGGCCUUAGGGUUGUAAAGCUCUUUCGGCGGGGACGAUAAUGACGGUACCCGCAGAAGAAGCCCCGGCUAACUUCGUGCCAGCAGCCGCGGUAAUGCGAAGGGGGCUAGCGUUGCUCGGAAUCACUGGGCGUAAAGGGCGCGUAGGCGGACAUUUAAGUCGGGGGUGAAAGCCCAGGGCUCAACCCUGGAAUUGCCUCCGAUACUGGGUGUCUCGAGACCGGAAGAGGUGAGUGGAACUGCGAGUGUAGAGGUGAAAUUCGUAGAUAUUCGCAAGAACACCAGUGGCGAAGGCGGCUCACUGGUCCGGUUCUGACGCUGAGGCGCGAAAGCGUGGGGAGCAAACAGGAUUAGAUACCCUGGUAGUCCACGCCGUAAAACGAUGGAUGCUAGCCGUUGGCAGGCUUGCCUGUCAGUGGCGCAGCUAACGCUUUAAGCAUCCCGCCU